GAGUGAUCGAAAGAUGAAAAGCACUUUGGAAAGAGAGUCAAACAGCACGUGAAAUUGUUGAAAGGGAAGCGCUUGCAGCCAGACUUGCUUGCAGUUGCUCAUCCGGGCUUUUGCCCGGUGCACUCUUCUGCAGGCAGGCCAGCAUCAGUUUGGGCGGUGGGAAAAAGGUCUCUGACACGUUCCUUCCUUCGGGUUGGCCAUAUAGGGGAGACGUCAUACCACCAGCCUGGACUGAGGUCCGCGCAUCUGCUAGGAUGCUGGCGUAAUGGCUGUAAGCGGCCC
rnacentral:rRNA from 1 species